CGACUCUCGGCAACGUUCGCAUCGAUGAAGAACGCAGCGAACUGCGAUACUUGGUGUGAAUUGCAGAAUCCCGUGAACCAUCGAGUCUUUGAACGCAAGUUGCGCCCGAUUCCAUUUGGAUGAGGGCACGUUUGCCUGGGUGUCACAC
rnacentral:rRNA from 1 species